rnacentral:rRNA from 1 species
AUGGCCGUCGCCGUAGCCGCCGGGACCCUCCGUACCUGUUCCGGCGUAUUUCCGGCGGCGUCCGGGAACCAUCCGCUUGCCGGGUGGCGGCCACUUGCACCGGCAGCGCCCGCUAAGCUGAGAUUAUUGUCUCCAGCUUUGAGGGUUCCUAGAGCUGCUUCGCCUGCAGCUGUUGAGAAUGGGAGCUCUAGCAACAGUAAUACAGUCCCUACACCGAAAGUUAUAAUAGAUCAAGACUCAGAUCCAGAUGCAACUAUUGUGGAAGUAACCUUGGGUGACCGUCUUGGGGAUCUCCUUGAUACUAUGAGUGCCUUGAGGAAUUUAGGGCUAAAUGUUGUGAAAGCUAGUGUUUGCCUCGAUUCUUCUGGCAAACACAAUAAGUUCGCUAUAACAAAGUCGUCAACUGGUCGCAAAAUUGAUGACCCAGAGUUGUUAGAAGCAGUAAGACUGACAAUUAUAAACAACAUGCUUGAGUAUCAUCCUGAAGCUAGCAGUCAAUUGGCCAUGGGUGCAACUUUUGGGCUAGAGCCCCCUACAGAAGUGGUUGAUGUGGACAUAGCAACUCACAUAGAGAUCUAUGACGAUGGUCCUGAAAGAAGUUUACUUGUUGUGGAAUCAGCUGACCGUCCAGGGUUGUUGGUUGAUCUAGUUAAGAUCAUUGCUGACAUCAAUAUCACUGUCCAAUCUGGAGAAUUUGACACUGAGGGGCUACUGGCCAAGGCAAAAUUCCAUGUCAGUUACCGGGGCAAGCCAUUAAUCAAGGCUUUGCAACAGGUUCUCGCGAAUAGCUUGCGUUAUUUCUUGAGGAGGCCGACAACAGAGGAUGCCAGUUUCUAA